GAUGAACGCUGGCGGCGUGCCUAAUACAUGCAAGUCGAGCGAACAGAUGAGGAGCUUGCUCCUCUGACGUUAGCGGCGGACGGGUGAGUAACACGUGGAUAACCUACCUAUAAGACUGGGAUAACUUCGGGAAACCGGAGCUAAUACCGGAUAAUAUAUUGAACCGCAUGGCUCAAUAGUGAAAGACGGUUUUGCUGUCACUUAUAGAUGGAUCCGCGCCGCAUUAGCUAGUUGGUAAGGUAACGGCUUACCAAGGCAACGAUGCGUAGCCGACCUGAGAGGGUGAUCGGCCACACUGGAACUGAGACACGGUCCAGACUCCUACGGGAGGCAGCAGUAGGGAAUCUUCCGCAAUGGGCGAAAGCCUGACGGAGCAACGCCGCGUGAGUGAUGAAGGUCUUCGGAUCGUAAAACCCUGUUAUUAGGGAAGAACAAAUGUGUAAGUAACUAUGCACGUCUUGACGGUACCUAAUCAGAAAGCCACGGCUAACUACGU
rnacentral:rRNA from 1 species